rnacentral:lncRNA from 1 species
CCUGAUUUGAUCACUACACAUUGAAUGUAUCACAACAUCAUUAUGUGCCUUUGUGUACCUCAUAAAUAUGUACAAUUAUUAUGUGUCAAUUUUUUUAAUUAAAAAAAUAUUGAAGGAGGUUGGAGAGAAGAUCUUGAUAACACUUUUGGUUACAUUGAAUUUCAAGAUGUUCAAGAGGGGAUAUCAAAUGUCAAUUGUAAAGCUGUAUUUUAAACUUCAUUGAGAGAUUUGGGUUGAAUAAAGAAAUGUGUAUGUCAUCUGUGCAUAAGUGGAUAUGACCUCCCAGAGAGACAGUUUAAAGAAGAGUAGAAGUCUAGCGCUGAGCCUUGUGAUGCCACAAUAGCUAAAGGCCAAGUGGAGGAAGGACCAAAGGAAACCAGUUAGGAAGCUGUUUAAUAAUCCAGCCAAGUGCCAGUGAAAAUCUGAUCUGGCAUGAUGACAGUAGGACCGCAAAGAAAGGGAAGAAUAAAAAGAACGUUAUUAUUUAUUUUUUUAACACAAAGGAAACCAGCUGGUGAUUUGUAUGUACAAUGAGGUUUGAAAAGCACUGAUUGAGAGACCAGACUGGAUGAGAACAGACAUGGAGUCAGAAGAGAGAGAUAAAAUAUUCACCCACGAAAAGAUCCCCAACUCAAGACUAAAUCAGCAGAGCAGUGACAUUAAAGGAGCAACUCUGUCAAAUACAAGCUCUCCACGAGGAAAGAAGUUGAAGAACAAAAGCCUGAAGCUUAGUCUGCAAUUGAUUGUCUCAUGUGCCUCUAACAAGAAAUGGAAGAGACAUUUUUCCACUUUACUUCUAUGAAACUACUACCUCUCUAGAAACAUUUUUAGACUGCAACCUAUUAAAGGAUAUAUAAAGAAAUAAAGCAGCUGGACCUAUAGGUUUUGGUGGAAAACUAAUUAAAUUUGAACUAAUUUCCUACAAAACUUUUUUC